CCUUAUUCACAAACCCUAAGCGUUCUCUACAAACCCUAAGUGCUCUCGUCUACUUCUCUCCGAUCUUCAACGUUCGACCCCUCCCCUCCAAUCAGACGACGCCGGCGACCGCCUCUCACCCUCUCCUAGACGACGCCGGCGACUGUGACUCCGAUCAGACCAGCCGCACUCGUCCUUCGUUUUGGUCUCGGUUUAAAGUCUCGUGGGGAAGUUGGUGGAACGUUGUAACCGGAAAAUGAUAGAAGAGAGAUUUUGGAGUUUGAGUUCCCUGAUGAUGAUGGUUACGCGUCCGCUUUUGGAUGAUCAGUUCGACACUAUCUACCAGACUUGGAAAAGGCAAGAAGAAACUAGGAAAAGCGGCUGUAAAUUGCCAACAACUUGAAGGCGAGAAAGUGCUAAGACUUUGCAAGAUGUUGAAGAGGUUCCUGAACAUAAAGGAGUAUCACUUUAAAUCAAAGACUCCUAUUGAACUGAAAGGCGCUUGUUGGACUGGGGGUAGAAUACUUUCACCUUCCUUCAGGGAUACAAUGGCUCCUAGGCAAGAUUGA